CUCGCAGGCUGCUUGAACAGUUAGACGUGAAAUCCCCGGGCUUAACCUGGGAACUGCGUUUAAUACUAGCAAGCUAGAGAAAUAGAGAGGAAAGUGGAACUCCCAGUGUAGAGGUGAAAUUCGUAGAUAUUGGGAAGAACACCAGUGGCGAAAGCGACUUUCUGGCUAUUUUCUGACGCUGAGGAGCGAAAGCGUGGGGAGCAAACA
rnacentral:rRNA from 1 species